rnacentral:lncRNA from 12 species
CUUACAAGCAUGGGGAGAGAAAGAAAGGUCAUUUACCUAUCUGAUGCUGAGAUUAUCCAGCUACUGGUAACAGAAAAUCAAUUCAACUUGGAUAGUGAUUGUACUUCUCUUAAGAACUUCCAGACAUGACUUCAUUCACUAUCCAGUAACUAACAGUGCCGGAGAGGAGAGUGUAUCUCAAAUAAAGCUGUAGGAGGCAAAUAUAAAGAAUCA